rnacentral:rRNA from 1 species
UGGGGAAUUUUGGACAAUGGGGGAAACCCUGAUCCAGCCAUCCCGCGUGUGCGAUGAAGGCCCUCGGGUUGUAAAGCACUUUUGGCAGGAAAGAAACGUCAUGGGUUAAUACCCCGUGAAACUGACGGUACCUGCAGAAUAAGCACCGGCUAACUACGUGCCAGCAGCCGCGGUAAUACGUCGGGUGCAAGCGUUAAUCGGAAUUACUGGGCGUAAAGCGUGCGCAGGCGGUUCGGAAAGAAAGAUGUGAAAUCCCAGAGCUCAACUUUGGAACUGCAUUUUUAACUACCGGGCUAGAGUGUGUCAGAGGGAGGUGGAAUUCCGCGUGUAGCAGUGAAAUGCGUAGAUAUGCGGAGGAACACCGAUGGCGAAGGCAGCCUCCUGGGAUAACACUGACGCUCAUGCACGAAAGCGUGGGGAGCAAACAGG